rnacentral:rRNA from 1 species
CCCUUAGAUGUUCUGGGCCGCACGCGUGCUACACUGAGUGGAUCAGCGGGUCAGGUUGCGCGAAAGUGUUUCCUAAUCUUGAAAUCCGCUCGUGAUGGGGAUUGACGGUUGCAAUUUUCCGUCAUGAACGAGGAAUACCUUGUAAGCGCGGGUCAUCAUCCCGCGCUGAAUACGUCCCUGCCCUUUGUACACACCGCCCGUCGCUCCUACCGAUUGAGUGGUCCGGUGAGGCUUUGGGAUCUGAGCGGAAAGAGCGUUUCGCUGUUUCUGCCCGGAAAACUCAGUCGAACCUUAUCAUCUAGAGGAAGGAGAAGUCGUAACA